rnacentral:rRNA from 1 species
AUACAUAUGUCCCAAGCGUUACCCGGAAUUAUUGGGUGUAAAGGGUCCGUAGGCGGAUUAUUAAGUUGAAUAUGAAAGACCGAGGCUCAACCUCGCGUUUGUAUUCAAAACUGGUAAUCUAGAAUUAGGGAGAGGUAAGCGGAAUUCUUAGUGUAGGGGUGCAAUCCGUAGAUACUAAGAAGAACACCAAAAGCGAAGGCAGCUUACUGGAACUAUAUUGACGCUGAGGGACGAAAGCGUGGGGAGCGAAGAGGAUUAGAUACCCUUGUAGUCC